CUCUCCGCGCCCCGUUUCCCCGGCUCUCCUUCCAGUCUGACCUCACCUUUCCUCCUAAGCGGUUUGAGAUCCUCCAGAGUAAACAGGACUGUCCUGGGAGGCUGCCGCUCUCCGGCCCCUCCCCUCGAGGCCCGACCGCCUCUCGCUUCUCUGCUCAGACAUCUAUUGCCUGUGUCCGUCUUGCCCUUCUCUCCUUUCCUUCCUUUCCAUCUAUAUCCAUUUCUUACCCCACCGGCCUUCAGCUUUCUUUUCUGUUCAUAGCUCCCUCCAGCCUUUUCCCUUACCCCCACCCCCCACCCCCCCAAAGAGUCUUGGAUUCCUAAAAAUCAGAAGCGGGCGGGAAUAGCCUUCGAGAAAGCUGAAGCCCAGCGUUACAUGGCAUUGCAUCGAGCCGUCCUUGCUCUUAUCAGCUCCCUUCCCUGGCCCCAUCCCUUUGCCCUUGCCUCUAUUCCAGCCUUCCUCUAAUUUCCCUAGGGAACCUGCUGAGUGUCGCUUUGGGAAAUUAAUUCGGCCACCGUUUGGGGGCUGGGAGCCCUACUUGGGGAGGGGGCAUGGAAUUGGUUGUUGAGGAGAUCGUCGAGGUCUCCUGAAGGCCCCAGAAGUGAAAGAGGGGAAUCGGCGGGAUUAAAGGCAGUGGCAGAGGGGAGCUCUGCGUGAGAGCUGAUAAGGAAACGGUUACUUCUACCCUUCCACUAUACCACUGCCCACACCAGGGGGUUUAGGGAGGAGGAAACUACUUGAACUGGUUUGGAGUAGGUGUGUAUCAGGCUAGGGUGCUCUCCCUACUCCUGUCCUGUUUGGCCAAGUAGGAGCCUGAGGAGUUGGGGAACACACAAAGGCUUUCAAGGCCGAGGGGGGAAGCUGGGAGGUAUGCCCAGGAGACAGAAUACUCAGGAAAAGGCCCCAGAGGUAGACAAAAGGCAGAGUGGAGCAGGCCAGGAAGGCCGAGGGACCUCAAGAGGGGGUGGGGCAUCAGGGCUACCAGCAGAUGGAGGGGAUUUGCUUUGCUAAGCUGAACUCUUCAGCCUCAUGAGGUUUUGGAGAACUUGAGGUGGGUGAUGAGCAGUUAACCUUGGCUGUCCAUUUCUCUGUCUUCAUCACUUUCCCUCCUCCCUUGAGUCUUGGGGAAGAUGUCUGGUCUCAGCCCCUUUGCGGCCUUAGGGACCCUGGGACCUCUGUUUUGCUUCUGGGCUGUUGUGGCCAACUCCUCUAAGCUCACUGCAGAGGGAGUACGGGGCAAAAGGGACUGGCUGCAGCUCAUUUGUGGUGAGAGGAAGGUGACCUCUUUCUUGCAGGACCUGAAGGAGAAGAAAGAGAAAGUGGAGGAGAAGGCAAACCGGAAAGAGCGAAAGAAAGAAGUGGUGGAGGUGCGGAGGGGUCAGGUGGAGAUUCACAUCUCCUCUCCAGUUACCUUGGGGAGGCUGGGUCCUGCCUUUGCUUUAGCCCCUCCUAUCCUUCGUGCCCCACCCUUUGGGCCCUCUCAACACCCUUGCCAUUGGUGGGGGUGGAGGCAUACCACCAGCCUAACAGCUGCUCCCUCUCCUGGUUCCCACAGGAGGAGGAGAAUGGAGCCGAGGAGGAAGAAGAAGAAACUGCUGAGGACGGAGAGGAGGAGGAUGAAGGGGAAGAAGAAGAUGAGGAAGAAGAAGAAGAUGACGACGAAGGGCCCGCGCUGAAGAGAGCUGCUGAAGAGGAGGAUGAAGCGGAUCCCAAACGGCAGAAGACAGAAAACGGGGCAUCGGCAUGAGCCCCCCUGCCAGUGGGCUGGGGGUGGAAGGCCCCUUGGGGCCUGGAGGUGGGGGUGGGAACAGACAGAGUGCAGCCACUCUUCACCUGGUUCCUUGCUCUGGGCCCUGCACCAGAGCUGCCACCCUCUUUCUCCCCAGCCUUCUCAUGUCCGCCUCUCCAGACACUGCCCCUUCCAUCCUUACUCCGCCAUUAUUCCACCUCCCGACCUGCUCCAUCCGAGCUCCCCAGCUGAUCCCCAGUUGCUCCUCUCCCUGUCUUUGCUCUCUUCUUCCCUCCCCCACCCCUCCUUGGGUAGCCUCUCCUUCCUCACCUCUGCAUCCCAGCCUCAUGUCCUGCCCAUCCCUACCCUGCCUGAUCCCUGGGUCUCCCUCAGAUCCCCUUCUCUCAAGACAGCGCCAGGCCGGGGUGGGGCCAGGGUUGGGGCCGAGCCCCGCAGCUGCCCCCCUCCUCCCUCCCCUUUUUGUAUAAUUUAAUAAAGAAACGGUCGCGCUUCUGUUUUUAA